rnacentral:misc_RNA from 1 species
GUUCGAUCAAAUUAUUGAAUGACAACGUAUCUGGGCUGCACCUAUAAUCACCCAUCUUCUCGAAUACUUCCAUGGCAUCUUUGAACCUCCCUUCAAUGCAGUACCCAUCAACCAUCACAUUAAAGCUUCCCAAGUUCACUGCCGGACGCCUGGGUGGACUAUGCUCCUUCGUCAUUCUAUCAAACAACAUCAAGGCCUCACCAAACUUCCCAUUCCUGCAUAAUGCAUCAAGCACAGAAUUGUAUGCAAUGGCGCUCAUCUUCACCACUGAAUUUUCACCCACAGUCUCCUCAUAACACCUCAUUGCUUCCUCUUCCAUUCCUUUCAUAAAAUACCCUUUCAUCAAGCUCCCAUAAACAACUCCAUCUUCCACAGUCCCUCCCAACUUCUCUUUCA